CCCUAACCUCUCUCUCUCUCUCUCUAAUGUUCUUCAUUUCUUCUUCAAAACACUCAUUUCCCUCAAAUCUACCAUGUCCGAUGACCCACAAAUCCGCCAUCAUCAAGACUAAUGAGAUUUAUGUGUUUUCCGACGACAUCUACACUCAGAAAAUUGCCACUUCUCGACGAUGCUGAUGAUACAACAAGCAUGGAGACGAACAGAUCUGGUAAGAUAUCUAGGAUUUGUAGAGGCGACAGUGUCGACGAAGGCUCGGGUUCGGACGACACAAGGGUUUGAGCAGCAUUGUAGGGUUCGUUUUCUGCCGUUUAGGGUUUGAAAAGCUUUGUAUGGUAGCUCUAACAUAAAGAUCUAUUUUCAUCCUCAUUUUUUGGAUCUGAACAGAUCUGGUGAGAUAUCUGACACUGUUUAGGGUUUCAUCCAUCCGCCCCUCUCCUUCUCCGGCGAGGUGCUGUCAUUUUUAAAAACCCUAGCGCCGCAACCCUUCAGGUUUUUCAAAACCCUAGCUUUUCAGAUCUGCUGCCACAUUCGUUUUUGCUUUAAUCCACAAACAUGAAGAUCUAGAAACUCGUAAUUUUUUGCUUCUAACAACAGAUGGCUUAAAGAUAAUGUUGCUCCAGCGAGUGUUGUGUAUUGAAUCAGGUUUAUGUGUUUGGUCUUGUAUAUCAUAUUUCUAGUUUUGUAUAUCAUAUCUUCUUGAACAUAUUUAUGUGUUUGAUAUCAUCUGUGUUUAAUCAUUUCUUGGUUUUUAAUGUGUUCUUGUAUGCUAGAGUUCUAAUUUUCAUCUAGAGAGAGUGAGAAAGAGAGAAAGAGAGAGAGAGUUUUAUAUGUGUGUGGUGUUUAAGGUUACAAAGGAAGUAUCCGUUUCGACGGUGGUGGUGGCCGGUGUUGGUGGCGGCGGUGAUGCAGACCGGUGGUGGUGGUCUUUUGCAUUGUAAGAGAAAGAGAGAGGGUAGGAUUUUUUCCAAGACCUGAUAUGAAACCUUACUAGGGUGAAAGUGACCUUUUUUCCA